UACGGGGGGGGGCAAGCGUUGUUCGGAAUUACUGGGCGUAAAGGGCGCGUAGGCGCCUUCUAAGUCAGACGUGAAAUCCCUCGGCUCAACCGAGGAACUGCGUCUGAUACUGGAAGGCUUGAAUCCGGGAGAGGGAUGUGGAAUUCCAGGUGUAGCGGUGAAAUGCGUAGAUAUCUGGAGGAACACCGGUGGCGAAGGCGGCAUCCUGGACCGGUAUUGACGCUGAGGCGCGAAAGCUAGGGGAGCAAACGGGG
rnacentral:rRNA from 1 species